UAUUACCGAAGCUGUGGAUUGUCCUUUGGACAAUGGUAGGAGAGCGUUCUAAGGGCGUUGAAGCAUGAUCGUAAGGACAUGUGGAGCGCUUAGAAGUGAGAAUGCCGGUGUGAGUAGCGAAAGACGGGUGAGAAUCCCGUCCACCGAUUGACUAAGGUUUCCAGAGGAAGGCUCGUCCGCUCUGGGUUAGUCGGGUCCUAAGCUGAGGCCGACAGGCGUAGGCGAUGGAUAACAGGUUGAUAUUCCUGUACCACCUAUAAUCGUUUUAAUCGAUGGGGGGACGCAGUAGGAUAGGCGAAGCGUGCGAUUGGAUUGCACGUCUAAGCAGUAAGGCUGAGUAUUAGGCAAAUCCGGUACUCGUUAAGGCUGAGCUGUGAUGGGGAGAAGACAUUGUGUCUUCGAGUCGUUGAUUUCACACUGCCGAGAAAAGCCUCUAGAUAGAAAAUAGGUGCCCGUACCGCAAACCGACACAGGUAGUCAAGAUGAGAAUUCUAAGGUGAGCGAGCGAACUCUCGUUAAGGAACUCGGCAAAAUGACCCCGUAACUUCGGGAGAAGGGGUGCUCUUUAGGGUUAACGCCCAGAAGAGCCGCAGUGAAUAGGCCCAAGCGACUGUUUAUCAAAAACACAGGUCUCUGCUAAACCGUAAGGUGAUGUAUAGGGGCUGACGCCUGCCCGGUGCUGGAAGGUUAAGAGGAGUGGUUAGCUUCUGCGAAGCUACGAAUCGAAGCCCCAGUAAACGGCGGCCGUAACUAUAACGGUCCUAAGGUAGCGAAAUUCCUUGUCGGGUAAGUUCCGACCCGCACGAAAGGCGUAACGAUUUGGGCACUGUCUCAACGAGAGACUCGGUGAAAUCAUAGUACCUGUGAAGAUGCAGGUUACCCGCGACAGGACGGAAAGACCCCGUGGAGCUUUACUGUAGCCUGAUAUUGAAAUUCGGCACAGCUUGUACAGGAUAGGUAGGAGCCUUUGAAACGUGAGCGCUAGCUUACGUGGAGGCGCUGGUGGG
rnacentral:rRNA from 1 species